rnacentral:rRNA from 1 species
AGCAGCCGCGGUAAUUCCAGCUCCAAUAGCGUAUAUUAAAGUUGUUGCAGUUAAAAAGCUCGUAGUUGAAUUUCGGGAUUGGCGUGUCGGUCGUGCCUUAAGGGGUAUGAACUGGCGUCGUCGAUUUCUCACCUUCUGGAGAAUCACGAUGCCCUUAAUUGGGUGUCGUGUGGAACCAGGACCUUUACCUUGAAAAAAUUAGAGUGUUUAAAGCAGGCAUUUUUGCUCGAAUACAUUAGCAUGGAAUAAUAAAAUAGGACGGUUUGGUUCUAUUUUGUUGGUUUCUAGGAUCACCGUAAUGAUUAAUAGGGAUAGUUGGGGGCAUUAGUAUUCAAUUGUCAGAGGUGAAAUUCUUGGAUUUAUUGAAGACUAACUACUGCGAAAGCAUUUGCCAAGGAUGUUUUCAUUAAUCAAGAACGAAAGUUAGGGGAUCGAAGACGAUCAGAUACCGUCGUAGUCUUAACCAUAAACUAUGCCGACUAGGAAUCAGACGAUGUUAAUUUUUUAAUGACUCG